UGUUCCUACGGGAGGCAGCAGUGGGGAAUAUUGCACAAUGGGGGAAACCCUGAUGCAGCAACACCGCGUGAAGGAAGACGGUUUUCGGAUUGUAAACCUCUGUCCUCUGUGAAGAUGAUGACGGUAGCAGAGGAGGAAGCUCCGGCUAACUACGUGCCAGCAGCCGCGGUAAUACGUAGGGAGCGAGCGUUGUCCGGAUUUACUGGGUGUAAAGGGUGCGUAGGCGGCUUGGCAAGUCAGUAGUGAAAUCCAUGGGCUUAACCCAUGAACUGCUAUUGAAACUGUCGAGCUUGAGUGAAGUAGAG
rnacentral:rRNA from 1 species